rnacentral:rRNA from 1 species
CCUCGGGGGGCUGCAGUGGGGAAUAUUGGACAAUGGGGGGAACCCUGAUCCAGCCAUGCCGCGUGUGUGAAGAAGGCCCUCGGGUUGUAAAGCACUUUCAGUGAGGAAGAACGCCUGGUGGUUAAUACCCAUCAGGAAAGACAUCACUCACAGAAGAAGCACCGGCUAACUCCGUGCCAGCAGCCGCGGUAAUACGGAGGGUGCGAGCGUUAAUCGGAAUUACUGGGCGUAAAGCGCGCGUAGGUGGCUUGAUAAGCCGGUUGUGAAAGCCCCGGGCUCAACCUGGGAACGGCAUCCGGAACUGUCAAGCUAGAGUGCAGGAGAGGAAGGUAGAAUUCCCGGUGUAGCGGUGAAAUGCGUAGAGAUCGGGAGGAAUACCAGUGGCGAAGGCGGCCUUCUGGACUGACACUGACACUGAGGUGCGAAAGCGUGGGUAGCAAACAGGAUUAGAUACCCCAGUAGUC